rnacentral:lncRNA from 1 species
CUGAGCUUUAAUUUCAUCCUGGAUACACUGAUACAUCCUUUGUUUCUCUUUGUUAAUCUUGUGUUUAAAGUAACUUCUAGUAGAAGUCACACAUAUCUGACCCAGAAAUACAAGAAUUUCACAGUCUCUGAGGAAAUGUGCUGAAGGGAGAUUUUCUGGAGCUUUUCAGCUGGGAAUGAAACCUUCUGCCCAUUUGUUUACCGCAGAGGGAGCCCAGGAAAAGGACAAAGUGCUGGAGUGAAGGAGAUGGUGCAGAGGUCACUGCAGGCACCUGCUGUUUCUGGAACUUUCUGUUUUGAGGUAUAUGCUGACUUUGGACAGGUUCAGUGCCUUCAGCAGCUUUUGCAGGGUGCCAGGUCCACAAUCUGGUUUAACAAAGGCCACUAGUCCAGGAACCUCUUCCAUGGGGCCCACAUGAAAAACAGGAGUUGGAGAAGCAGAGUGAAGGUUUAUCGUAUCUCCAUAUAGCCAACAUUCAAAUAUCCUUCAGGAAGGGAAUGCUGGAGCCUGGCUGAGACUCUGGAGGUCUCUGCAGUGGUUUUGCACAAGUUGUCUAGAAAAAGGACAGAGUCUCCUGGUUGAGAAUUUGUGGCAUGAAGGUCUGAGCAAGAGGAACUGUACUUUCCAUUGCAUCACUGGCAUUUCAGCCCAGAGCUCUCCCACAUCUCAUAAGCUGCUUUGAGCCCGUGCAGUACGCAGAGUGGAAAAAAAAAGGAAUUGAAGAAGCAAAAAUAAAUAUUAAAGCACGUAAGAAUUAAAUAUCACCUAUUCAAAUAGCAAUUAUGCCGUUGAAAACAAGAUCACCACACCUGUACAAGAAAAGACAACCAAGCCUAAAACAUCUGUUUGGAUCCACCUGCCAAGCACCUGUUCUGCUGUUUCAAUGCCAUUUGAUUGCUGGAGAUGUAGAGGCUCUUGUGAGACCAGUUUCCACGCUGGGAACUACGGGAUAAAUCAGCCCAUGCUUCUCAUCAUGGAGAAUUCAGCAGCUGCUUGGGAUCAUCUCCCAGAGAUGAAGGAGAUGUGGAAGUCAAACUGAGAGGCUGCAGCAUCCCCUCUGCCUCUUCCCAAGGUAAGCAGUGCAGCUGGAAUG